UACGUAGGGUGCAAGCGUUGUCCGGAAUUAUUGGGCGUAAAGAGCUACGUAGGCGGUCUGUCGCGUCUGCUGUGAAAACUCGGGGCUUAACCCCGGGCCUGCAGUGGGUACGGGCAGACUAGAGUGCGGUAGGGGAGACUGGAAUUCCUGGUGUAGCGGUGAAAUGCGCAGAUAUCAGGAAGAACACCAAUGGCGAAAGCAGCUCUCUGGGACGGUACUGACGCUGAGACGCGAAAGCGUGGGGAGCGAACAGG
rnacentral:rRNA from 1 species